rnacentral:lncRNA from 1 species
CGCCGACACCAAUAAGCUACAAGGAGGAGCUUUACCGCUGCCUGUACUACUACUGCCUGCGCUACUUCCCAGCCUGCGGCGUAGGGCGCAGCAAGGGCCUGACGCUUAGCGAGCAGGCGCUGCGCACCAAGCGGCUGUCGCCUGGAGGGCACGUUCAGGCAGAAGCUCCUCAGUGGCCACAAGUCCGCUAGCUCCGGCUACAGCCCUUGCCGCACACUCGCGUCACCUGAGCCUGUGAUGCCGAAGGACCUGUUCAAAGUAUUUUCUGUAACUCCAACUGUAACUUGGUUCUAGGAGGAGAGAAUCCAUGUUUGGUCAACAGAACUUUUCGCCGCCACUUAAGUUUACUGCUUCAAUAUCUUUUCCUUACUAAUUGAUUGUUAAUUAAGUAGUGUCCAAGUGAGUUAGCCUUUUUAGGGUUGAUUAAUUAAAAGAGCAGCAAGAAUGGCAUUUU